AUACGGAGGAUCCGAGCGUUAUCUGGAUUUAUUGGGUUUAAAGGGUGCGCAGGCGGCCAUUUAAGUCAGCGGUAAAAUCGUGGGGCUCAACCCCAUUCUGCCGUUGAUACUGGGUGGCUUGAUUGCGGUCGAGGUUGGCGGAAUUCGUUGUGUAGCGGUGAAAUGCAUAGAUAUGACGAAGAACACCGAUUGCGUAGGCAGCUGACCAGACCGCAAAUGACGCUCAUGCACGAAAGUGCGGGGAUCGAACAGGAUUAGAUACCCUGGUAGUCCGCACAGUAAACGAUGAAUACUUGUUUUCGGCGAUAUAAUGUCGGAGGCAAAGCGAAAGCGAUAAGUAUUCCACCUGGGGAGUACGCCGGCAACGGUGAAACUUAAAGGAAUUGACGGGG
rnacentral:rRNA from 1 species